rnacentral:rRNA from 1 species
CGGCGUGCCUAACACAUGCAAGCGUACGAGAAAGACCGGCUUCGGCUGGUGAGUAAAGUGGCGCACGGGUGAGUAACGCGUGGAUAAUCUGCCCUUAAGUGUGGAAUAACGUACCGAAAGGUGCGCUAAUACCGCAUAAUGCCUGGCAACACAAGUUGUCCGGCCAAAGAAGGCCUCUGUUUACAAGCUUUCGCUUCAGGAUGAGUCCGCGUACCAUUAGCUUGUUGGUGGGGUAAUGGCCUACCAAGGCUGCGAUGGUUAGCUGGUCUGAGAGGAUGAUCAGCCACACUGGAACUGAGACACGGUCCAGACUCCUACGGGAGGCAGCAGUGAGGAAUAUUGCGCAAUGGGGGCAACCCUGACGCAGCAACGCCGCGUGAGUGAGGAAGGUUUUCGGACUGUAAAGCUCUGUCGAGCGGGAAGAAGUGUACCAUGGCUAAUAUCCAUGAUAUUUGACGGUACCGCUAGAGGAAGCACCGGCUAACUCCGUG